CAAGGAAGUUGACAUGUCAUCACUUCAUUUUUUUGCGCCUGCGCAUAAAUCUGAGAAACGUGAGUUUGUCAUCAUUUUUUAUCUAGACAUAGGAUAGGUUGUGUGAAAAUAUUACUGAUGUUUAACGUUAAAAAUGGACCAAAAGAUUAAUGCUAAACAACAUUUGACAUGUUUGAACGAACAUAAAUAGAUUAUUUACUAGGUUUUUUUAGCUUUUCGGCGUGAUUUUACCAGCCCCCCAACCACGUUUUGUGGGAGCAUAAUGAACGCUAAGUACUUGGUGUUAUUUGGACAUAAAUUAUGAACUUUGUCAAAAGAAACCACAUUUGUUCCGGACCUGGAAUGCCUUCCGGACCUGGGAUCCUGCCUUCUGAUGGAGAUAAUCAAAGAGCCCAGUUUUAAGGACACAGGUCUGGUGAAGCGGAAAGCUUGGCUGUCGCCUGGCGUUUGCGUUCAACCGUGGACCAGUGGAGUGACAUUUGGAGGCGGGGGAACAAAAAACGAUCAGAGCAGACGGACGGACAGGGCAGGGUUCCCCCUCGGGACCGGACGAGAGCAGGGUUGGAGGUAGAGAGAAGGGCCGUUACAGAAUUACCCACCACAAGAAGACCAAGCAGCGGAGAAGAGGGCAGAUGGAAGUCAAGGAGGACUAUAGGAAGCAGUGCGCUCGGGAGGAGAUGGCAUCCUGGUCGCUGGAAGUAUUGGAGGCAAGAAUAGACUGGACUUGGGAACAGCUAUUUGACCAUUGCAGCAACCUGCCGGGGAGGCAGGUAGAGCCCGAGAGGCAGCCCCAAAUAUUUUUUUGGGGGGGGCACACGGGGAGUGUGGCAGAGUCAGGUUGGAGACCUGAGCCAGCUCCCCGUGCUUACAGGAGUCAACGUAGUACUGGUCAGGCACCGUGUGAACCGUGUGAACUCUUUGGCCUGAAUGCCAAGUGUCAAGUCUGGAGGAAACCAUCCCUAUGGUGAAGCAUGGUGGUGGUAGCAUCAUGCUGUGGGGAUGUUUUUCAGCGGCAGUUACUGGGAGACUAGUCAGGAUCGAGGGAAAGAUGAACGGAGCAAAGUACAGAGAUCCUUGAUGAAAACCUGCUCCAGAGCACUCAGGAGGCGAAGAUUCACCUUCCAACAGGACAACGACCCAAAGCACACAGCCAAAACAACGCAGGAGUGGCUUCGGGACAAGUCUCUGAAUGUCCUUGAGUGGUCCAGCCAGAGCCUGGACUUGAACUCAAUCUAACAUUACUGGAGAAACCUGAAAAUAACUGUGCAGCGACACUCCCCAUCCAAUCUGACAGAGCUUGAGAGGAGCUACAGAGAAGAAUGGAAGAAACUCCCAAAAUACAUGUGUGCCAAGCUUGUAGUGUCAUACCCAAAAAGACUUUAGGCUGUAAUCGCUGCUAAAGGUGCUUCAACAAAGUACUGAGUAAAGGGUCUGAACACUUAUGUAAAUGUGAUAUUUCAGUUGAACAUUUUUAAUACAUUUCUAAAAACGUUUUGCUUUCAAAUGAUGGGUUAUUGUGUGUAGAUUGAUGAGGGGAAACAACAUUUCAAUCAAUUUUAGAGUAAGGCUGUAACGUAACAAAAUGUGAAAAAAGUCAAGAUGUCUGAAUACUUUCUGAAUGCAAGAAUCUCGGCCAUCAGCCAAGUGAUCAUUGAUCGGGACGGGCUGCCAAUACCAGAAGAGAACAUUCAUGUCCAUUGAUCCCACAGCACGUGACCGUGUGUGUGUGUGUGUGUGUGUGUGUGUGUGUAUGUGUGCGUGCAUGCGAGUGUGUGUGUGUGUGUGCCUGUAUGUGUUAGUGAUGUACUGUAUAUGUCAGUGUGUAAACAGAAACAAAAGGCUUAAAGUGAAUUGUAGAUACAUUACAAAUGGUAACAGUGAAAUAAGCAGAGCUUACUCGAGUGAUUGUCUUCAUAGAUGGGUAAAAUGUAUCCUCUCACCUUACUCAAUAAAACAGCAUUAGAUGUCAAAUCAAACUUUAUUGGUCACGUACACAUGUUUAGCAGAUCUUAUUGCGGGUGUAGCGAAAUGCUUACAGCGGCUGAGAAAUGAUGGUGGAAAUGUCAAAAGCAGAGUUCUAAGAGUUCUACAAUCCCACAACAAACACAGAGACAAUCAAAGGUUCUUUAUUAUGAAUUCACUUUUUACAACAAGGACAAUACAGUGUCACUACGGC
rnacentral:lncRNA from 1 species